rnacentral:lncRNA from 1 species
AAAUAUAUACCAAAAUGUCCAUAUAUACAUCUCAAAUUCACUUUUCAAUCUACAAAAUAAACCACAAUAAACCAAACUAUUCAUAAAAUUAAGCUACUACCUAAGCAUGUGAAUAAAAGCCUAGGUUCUCCCAAAAUACGCCAGUAACUUUUGCUCUAGCACUAGCCAUGGAUGGCAGUAACUUUUGGUCUAGCACUAAUAGAUUCUUGAGAGAAGGUUAACCUGCUUCUGUUGCUUCUGCUACACUGCUUCUGUUACUUCUGCUACACUGCUUCUAUUG